rnacentral:rRNA from 1 species
GACGAACGCUGGCGGCGUGCUUAACACAUGCAAGUCGAACGAGUGGCGAACGGGUGAGUAAUACGUGGGAACCUGCCCUCCUUUUUGGGAUAAGCCUUGGAAACAGGUGCUAAUACCGCAUACUGAUGGAUGGACCCGCGGUGCAUUAGCUAGUUGGUGAGGUAACGGCUCACCUAGGCGACGAUCUCUAGCUGGUCUGAGAGGAUGAUCAGCCACACUGGGACUGAGACACGGCCCAGACUCCUACGGGAGGCAGCAGUGGGGAAUAUUGCACAAUGGGCGCAAGCCUGAUGCAGCCAUGCCGCGUGUAUGAAGAAGGCCUUAGGGUUGUAAAGUACUUUCAGCGGGGAGGCGUUACCCGCAGAAGAAGCACCGGCUAACUCCGUGCCAGCAGCCGCGGUAAUUC